UCAACCGAUUUGAAGCUGGGUCCUUACACU
rnacentral:piRNA from 1 species